UGGGGGAUAUUGCACAAUGGAGGAAACUCUGAUGCAGCAACGCCGCGUGAGGGAAGAAGGUCUUCGGAUUGUAAACCUCAGUAGUCAGGGACGAAAGAAAUGACGGUACCUGAAGAGUAAGCUCCGGCUAACUACGUGCCAGCAGCCGCGGUAAUACGUAGGGAGCGAGCGUUGUCCGGAUUUACUGGGUGUAAAGGGUGCGUAGGCGGGAUAGCAAGUCAGACGUGAAAUACCGAGGCUUAACUUCGGGGCUGCGUUUGAAACUGUUAUUCUUGAGUGAAGUAGAGGCAGGCAGAAUUCCUAGUGUAGCGGUGAAAUGCGUAGAUAUUAGGAGGAACACCAGUGGCGAAGGCGGCCUGCUGGGCUUUAACUGACGCUGAGGCACGAAAGCAUGGGGAGCAAACA
rnacentral:rRNA from 1 species